rnacentral:tRNA from 1 species
GUAAAUAUAGUUUAAAAAACAUUAGACUGUGAAUCUAAAAAUAGAGGUAUUAACUUCUUAUUUACC